UAGUUCUCGUAUACCCCUGCACAGCAUGUAUCUAUUGGCACGGAAACAAUCCAAACACAUGCUGUACGACCUUUUAGUAGAGAAGCCAUUGUCAAGAUGCUUGUGGAAAUCGCCAG